rnacentral:rRNA from 1 species
AUAUUGGGCAAUGGGCGCAAGCCUGACCCAGCAACGCCGCGUGAAGGAAGAAGGCCCUCGGGUUGUAAACUUCUUUUGUCAGGGACGAAGCAAGUGACGGUACCUGACGAAUACGCCACGGCUAACUACGUGCCAGCAGCCGCGGUAAUACGUAGGUGGCAAGCGUUAUCCGGAUUUACUGGGUGUAAAGGGCGUGUAGGCGGGAUUGCAAGUCAGAUGUGAAAACCACGGGCUCAACCUGUGGCCUGCAUUUGAAACUGCAGUUCUUGAGUACUGGAGAGGCAGACGGAAUUCCUAGUGUAGCGGUGAAAUGCGUAGAUAUUAGGAGGAACACCAGUGGCGAAGGCGGUCUGCUGGACAGCAACUGACGCUGAGGCGCGAAAGCGUGGGGAGCAAACAG